GGGCCCGCACAAGCGGUGGAGCAUGUGGUUUAAUUCGAUGCAACGCGAAGAACCUUACCAGGGCUUGACAUACUACAGAUCUUUUUUGAGAAAGAAUGAGUGCCUUUCGGGAAUGUAGAUACAGGUGGUGCAUGGCUGUCGUCAGCUCGUGUCGUGAGAUGUUGGUUAAGUCCCGCAACGAGCGCAACCCUUAUUUUUAGUUACCAACUUGUUGGGUUCUCUAGAAAGACUGCCGGUGACAAACCGGAGGAAGGUGAGGAUGACGUCAAGUCAGCAUGCCCCUUAUGUCCUGGCUACACACGUGCUACAAUGGCUAAGACAAAGAGUUGCGAGUUCGUGAGAACCAG
rnacentral:rRNA from 1 species